GCGCAGCAGGCGCGAAACUUCACACUGUGCGAAAGCACGAUGAGGGAAUCCCAAGUGCUUGCACGUAAGUGUAAGCUGUUUCUCUGUUUAAAACGCAGAGAGAGUAAGGGCUGGGUAAGACGGGUGCCAGCCGCCGCGGUAAUACCUGCAGCUCAAGUGGUGACCGUUAUUAUUGGGCCUAAAACGUCCGUAGCCGGUUUAAUAAAUGCCUGGGUAAAUCGUGUAGCUUAACUAUACGAAUUCCGGGUAGACUGUUAAACUCGAGACCGGGAGAAGUUAGAGGUACUCCUGGGGUAGAGGUGAAAUUCUGUAAUCCUAGGGGGACCACCAGUGGCGAAGGCGUCUAACUAGAACGGGUCUGACGGUGAGGGACGAAGCCCUGGGGCGCAAACGGGAUUAGAUAUCCCGGUAGUCCC
rnacentral:rRNA from 1 species